CUGUCACAGCUCCAAGGUAUAAUGACUUAGCAUCUCGCCCACUCUCCCACAGCUCCAAGGUAUAAUGACGGCAUCUCUCCCACAGCUCCAAGGUAUAAUGACUUAGCAUCUCUCCCACAGCUCCAAGGUAUAAUGACUUAGCAUCUCUCCCACAGCUCCAAGGUAUAAUGACUUAGCAUCUCUCCCACAGCUCCAAGGUAUAAUGACUUAGCAUCUCUCCCACAGCUCCAAGGUAUAAUGACUUAGCAUCUCUCCCACAGCUCCAAGGUAUAAUGACUUAGCAUCUCUCCCACUCUGUCACAGCUCCAAGGUAUAAUGACUUAGCAUCUCUCCCACAGCUCCAAGGUAUAAUGACUUAGCAUCUCUCCCACUCUGUCACAGCUCCAAGGUAUAAUGACUUAGCAUCUCUCCCACUCUGUCACAGCUCCAAGGUAUAAUGACUUAGCAUCUCUCCCACUCUGUCACAGCUCCAAGGUAUAAUGACUUAGCAUCUCUCCCACUCUCCCACAGCUCCAAGGUAUAAUGACUUAGCAUCUCUCCCACAGCUCCAAGGUAUAAUGACUUAGCAUCUCUCCCACAGCUCCAAGGUAUAAUGACUUAGCAUCUCUCCCACAGCUCCAAGGUAUAAUGACUUAGCAUCUCUCCCACAGCUCCAAGGUAUAAUGACUUAGCAUCUCUCCCACAGCUCCAAGGUAUAAUGACUUAGCAUCUCUCCCACUCUGUCACAGCUCCAAGGUAUAAUGACUUAGCAUCUCUCCCACAGCUCCAAGGUAUAAUGACUUAGCAUCUCUCCCACUCUGUCACAGCUCCAAGGUAUAAUGACUUAGCAUCUCUCCCACUCUGUCACAGCUCCAAGGUAUAAUGACUUAGCAUCUCUCCCACUCUGUCACAGCUCCAAGGUAUAAUGACUUAGCAUCUCUCCCACUCUGUCACAGCUCCAAGGUAUAAUGACUUAGCAUCUCUCCCACUCUGUCACAGCUCCAAGGUAUAAUGACUUAGCAUCUCUCCCACUCUGUCACAGCUCCAAGGUAUAAUGACUUAGCAUCUCUCCCACUCUGUCACAGCUCCAAGGUAUAAUGACUUAGCAUCUCUCCCACUCUGUCACAGCUCCAAGGUAUAAUGACUUAGCAUCUCUCCCACUCUGUCACAGCUCCAAGGUAUAAUGACUUAGCAUCUCUCCCACUCUGUCACAGCUCCAAGGUAUAAUGACUUAGCAUCUCUCCCACAGCUCCAAGGUAUAAUGACUUAGCAUCUCUCCCACUCUGUCACAGCUCCAAGGUAUAAUGACUUAGCAUCUCUCCCACUCUGUCACAGCUCCAAGGUAUAAUGACUUAGCAUCUC